rnacentral:SRP_RNA from 1 species
GCCGGGCGUGGUGGUGCACGCCUGUAAUCCCAGCUACUUGGGAGGCUGAGGCAGGAGAAUUGCUUGAGCCCGUGAGGCGGAGGUUGCAGUGAGCCGAGAUUGAGCCACUGCACUCCAGCCUGGGCAACAGAGUGAGACUCUGUCCCAA